ACAUGGGCAUCGACAAUUCUGAUCAAAAGAAUUGCUAAAAACUGUGUAAAAUCAAAAAUAUAGGGCCGCCAUUUUGUAAUUUUCUAACGGUAUGCCUCUAAAAUUUAAAAUCUAAUUUUUUUUUAUAAAAUUAAUUUUGUUUACAAAGUACGACCCUAAAUCGACCCAAUUUUGUCAGCCGCCUAAAAUGUGCCGGAGGCCGUUUCCAGUCUCGAUAAAAAUAAGUAUGUGUAAGGUGUUCUGCAGCAAGAACUACAUGGGCAUCGACAAUUCUGAUCAAAAGAGUUUCUAAAAACCAUGUAAAAUC